rnacentral:rRNA from 1 species
GUAACGAUCUGGGCACUGUCUCAACGAGAGACUCGGUGAAAUUAUAGUACCUGUGAAGAUGCAGGUUACCCGCGACAGGACGGAAAGACCCCGUGGAGCUUUACUGCAGCCUGAUAUUGAAUUUUGGUACAGCUUGUACAGGAUAGGUAGGAGCCUUGGAAGCCGGAGCGCCAGCUUCGGUGGAGGCAUCGGUGGGAUACUACCCUGGCUGUAUUGAAAUUCUAACCCGAAGGCCUUAUCGGCCUUGGAGACAGUGUCAGGUGGGCAGUUUGACUGGGGCGGUCGCCUCCUAAAAAGUAACGGAGGCGCCCAAAGGUUCCCUCAGAAUGGUUGGAAAUCAUUCGUAGAGUGUAAAGGCACAAGGGAGCUUGACUGCGAGACCUACAAGUCGAGCAGGGACGAAAGUCGGGCUUAGUGAUCCGGUGGUUCCGCAUGGAAGGGCCAUCGCUCAACGGAUAAAAGCUACCCCGGGGAUAACAGGCUUAUCUCCCCCAAGAGUCCACAUCGACGGGGAGGUUUGGCACCUCGAUGUCGGCUCAUCGCAUCCUGGGGCUGUAGUCGGUCCCAAGGGUUGGGCUGUUCGCCCAUUAAAGCGGUACGCGAGCUGGGUUCAGAACGUCGUGAGACAGUUCGGUCCCUAUCCGUCGUGGGCG